rnacentral:misc_RNA from 1 species
UAAAGUGCGAUAUGUAGUGCGAUUUGCAUGAAUCUGUGAGUCAUCUAAUCUUUGAACGCAACUUGCGCCUCUUUGAGGCAUGUCUGUUUGAGUGCCGCAUACAUCAAUGCAGCAAUGCGAUUUGACUGUUGUCCCCGGACUCGGUCUAAACGUAGCCAGAUGGUGGCCUGUGGUAGGCUAGCUUGAGUGCUAAGCAUUCUCUGAGCUAGGCUAUACAGCCAUAAACACAUCAUCAUUAUAUUUGGCCUCAAAUCAGGCAAGACUACCCGCUGAACUUAA